rnacentral:rRNA from 1 species
GUCCACGCCCUAAACGAUGAUGACUAGUUGUUGGGGGAGUUAAAUCCCUUAGUAACGCAGCUAACGCGUGAAGUCAUCCGCCUGGGGAGGUACGGUCGCAAGAUUAAAACUCAAAGGAAUUGACGGGGGCCCGGCACAAGCGGUGGAUGAUGUGGUUUAAUUCGACGCAACGCGAAAAACCUUAACCUACCCUUGACAUGUGCGGAAUCCUGCAGAGAUGCAGGAGUGCCCGAAAGGGAACCGCAACACAGGUGCUGCAUGGCUGUCGU